rnacentral:rRNA from 1 species
UACGUAGGGUGCGAGCGUUAAUCGGAAUUACUGGGCGUAAAGCGUGCGUAGGCGGCUUUGCAAGACAGAUGUGAAAUCCCCGGGCUCAACCUGGGAACUGCAUUUGUGACUGCAAGGCUAGAGUACGGCAGAGGGGGAUGGAAUUCCGCGUGUAGCAGUGAAAUGCGUAGAUAUGCGGAGGAACACCAAUGGCGAAGGCAAUCCCCUGGGCCUGUACUGACGCUCAUGCACGAAAGCGUGGGGAGCAAACAGG